rnacentral:rRNA from 1 species
UACAGAGGGGGCAAGCGUUGUUCGGAAUUACUGGGCGUAAAGGGCGCGUAGGCGGCCCUCUAAGUCGAACGUGAAAUCCCUGGGCUCAACCCAGGAACUGCGUCCGAGACUGGGGGGCUAGAAUCCGGGAGAGGGAUGUGGAAUUCCAGGUGUAGCGGUGAAAUGCGUAGAUAUCUGGAGGAACAUCGGUGGCGAAGGCGGCAUCCUGGACCGACAUUGACGCUGAUGAGCGAAAGCUAGGGGAGCAAACGGG